GACGAACCGUCCAAACGUUAUUCGGAUUUACUGGGCUUAAAGGGUGCGUAGGCGGCGCGGUAAGUCGGGUGUGAAAUCUCGGAGCUUAACUCCGAAACUGCAUUCGAUACUGCCGUGCUUGAGGACUGGAGAGGAGACUGGAAUUUACGGUGUAGCGGUGAAAUGCGUAGAUAUCGUAAGGAAGACCAGUGGCGAAGGCGGGUCUCUGGACAGUUCCUGACGCUGAGGCACGAAGGUCAGGGGAGCAAACGGG
rnacentral:rRNA from 1 species